UAUCACCGCCGCGUCAGCCAACGGGGAGGCCGGGGCCUCCAGAUCUGGCACUGACCCCGGCCUCCCCGCUGGGGGAUCCCGGCUGGCUGGA
rnacentral:pre_miRNA from 1 species